AUUAUGACGCGUCGUGCCUAUAAAAGCCCUCCGGCUUCGUCACUACGUUCUCUUGAAGUUCGUUCUCUUCGAUUUGUGAGAAACGUCUCCAACAUGAGAGCGAAGUGGAGAAAGAAGCGUAUGCGCAGGCUGAAGCGUAAAAGGAGAAAGAUGAGGCAGAGGUCCAAGUAAACUGCGACAUAUGUGCUGCAGCUAGGGUCCUGAUCAUCUUGGAUUCCCUUAGAGAGUCAUCUGGGGAAAAGUCCAUCUCCAGAGGCGCUGACCAUCUCCCUUGAAGCCAGUAUAACCUGCGACGCUUCCCUUUCCGGGCUGUCCUGAUGGAUGCUGGGCUUGACCUAGUGGGCUCUCUUGGACUUUCCAGACUUGCCAGUGCAGCGUCUUUUUGUUAAUACCUGUUCAAUAAAAAGUUUGGUUUAAAAUGUA